rnacentral:rRNA from 1 species
GUGGGGGAUAUUGCACAAUGGAGGAAACUCUGAUGCAGCGACGCCGCGUGAGUGAAGAAGUAUUUCGGUAUGUAAAGCUCUAUCAGCAGGGAAGAUAAUGACAGUACCUGACUAAGAAGCCCCGGCUAACUACGUGCCAGCAGCCGCGGUAAUACGUAGGGGGCAAGCGUUAUCCGGAUUUACUGGGUGUAAAGGGAGCGUAGACGGAAUGGCAAGUCUGAAGUGAAAUCCUGCGGCUUAACUGCAGAAUUGCUUUGGAAAUUGUCAAUCUGGAGAGUUGGAGAGGUGAGCGGAAUUCCUAGUGUAGCGGUGAAAUGCGUAGAUAUCAGUAAGAACACCGGAGGCGAAGGCGGCUUACUGGACAAUAACUGACGUUGAGGCGCGAAAGCGUGGGAAGCAAACAGGAUUAGAAACCCCGGUAGUCC